GGCGGCCCAGGGUACCCUGGAAGGACGCUGCACCCCGCAGCAGGGCCUGGCUUACCUGGGAUCCAGCGGGUGGAGUGACCAAGGUGCCAGAAGACCCACAUUAGUACCUCAUGUGGUACUAAUUCAUUGAGUUUUUGCUAACUGAAAGAAAUCCGAAGAGGAUGUUUGCUUUUAGGGGAAAAGGCUAACCAUGGGAAAGAACAAUUAUUCUUAUCUUUUGACUGUCAAAGAAGAGUCUCAAGAAUAUAAAGUAACAUACCCAACACCAAACAGUUAUCAACUGGCUGAGCCACGGGCCUCAAACAUAGCAUGACGACAUGAGAGCUUCCAUGCCUAUUCUAGAAGUUGCUCAGCAAGCAGACCAGGUAGAGAGAGCCCCUCCAAGAAAUGGCAGUGAGACAUGAAAGGUCCCAGCGUGUCCCUAAAGACAGCUAGAGAAAGUACAGUUGAUCCUUGAACAGCACUGGCUUAUAAUGUGUGGAUCCAACUAUAAAUGAAUUUUUUACAAUACAGUACAUAAAUGUAUUUUCUCUUCCUUA